rnacentral:rRNA from 1 species
GAACUGUCAGGCUAGAGUGCAGGAGAGGAAGGUAGAAUUCCCGGUGUAGCGGUGAAAUGCGUAGAGAUCGGGAGGAAUACCAGUGGCGAAGGCGGCCUUCUGGACUGACACUGACACUGAGGUGCGAAAGCGUGGGUAGCAAACAGGAUUAGAUACCCUGGUAGUCCACGCCGUAAACGAUGUCGACCAGCCGUUGGGUGCCUAGAGCACUUUGUGGCGAAGUUAACGCGAUAAGUCGACCGCCUGGGGAGUACGGCCGCAAGGUUAAAACUCAAAUGAAUUGACGGGGGCCCGCACAAGCGGUGGAGCAUGUGGUUUAAUUCGAUGCAACGCGAAGAACCUUACCUACCCUUGACAUCUACAGAAGCCGGAAGAGAUUCUGGUGUGCCUUCGGGAACUGUAAGACAGGUGCUGCAUGGCUGUCGUCAGCUCGUGUUGUGAAAUGUUGGGUUAAGUCCCGUAACGAGCGCAACCCUUGUCCUUAUUUGCCAGCGAGUAAUGUCGGGAACUCUAAGGAGACUGCCGGUGACAAACCGGAGGAAGGUGGGGACGACGUCAAGUCAUCAUGGCCCUUACGGGUAGGGCUACACACGUGCUACAAUGGCCGGUACAAAGGGCUGCGAGCUCGCGAGAGUCAGCGAAUCCCUUAAAGCCGGUCUCAGUCCGGAUCGGAGUCUGCAACUCGACUCCGUGAAGUCGGAAUCGCUAGUAAUCGUGAAUCAGAAUGUCACGGUGAAUACGUUCCCGGGCCUUGUACACACCGCCCGUCACACCAUGGGAGUGGACUGCACCAGAAGUGGUUAGCCUAACGCAAGAGGGC